GUAGGUGAACCUGCGGAAGGAUCAUUAUCGAAUCUUGACUUGGUGAAGCUGUUUUGCUGGCCCCUCCUGGGGGGCAUGUGCACGCUUCCCAAUCAGUUUUCUCUACCCACCUGUGCACCCUCUGUAGGUACCGGAUUUGGAGGCUGCUGGGUUUCUCCUGGCCGCCUCUUGUGUCUUUUCGGGCUUGCGUGCUUUAUACACACACACCUUUAUCAAUGAAUGUUCUUUGAAUGCCCUUGACGAAUAAUCAAGAAAAACCUUUGUACAACUUUCAACAACGGAUCUCUUGGCUCUC
rnacentral:misc_RNA from 1 species